GGUGGUUCAGUGGUAGAAUGCUUGCCUUGCAUGCUUGAGGCCCUAGGUUCGAUUCCCAGCACCA
rnacentral:tRNA from 1 species